CAGUCUGCAACUCGACUGCAUGAAGUCGGAAUCGCUAGUAAUCGCGGAGUCAGCAUGCCGCGGUGAAUACGUUCCCGGGCCUUGUACACACCGCCCGUCACACCAUGGGAGUAGAUUGUACCAGAAGCGGCUAGCCUAACCUUCGGGAGGGCGGUUACCACGGUAUGGUUUAUGACUGGGGUGAAGUCGUAACAAGGUAGCCGUAGGGGAACCUGCGACUGGAUCACCUCCUUUAAAGAAAAGGGUCUAGACCCCACACACGCCACUCGGUAAGGAAUUGGGCCUAUAGCUCAGCUGGCUAGAGCACACGACUGAUAAUCGUGAGGUCAGUGGUUCGAGUCCACUUGGGCCCACCAAAUGGGGCUGUAGCUCAGUUGG
rnacentral:rRNA from 1 species